GACGAACGCUGGCGGCGUGCUUAACACAUGCAAGUGGAGCGACGAACCAGGCUUCGGCCUGGGGCAAAGCCGCGAACGGGUGAGUAACACGUGGGUAACCUGCCCCGAUGACUGGGACAACCCGAGGAAACUCGGGCUAAUACCGGAUGUGCUCUCCUCACACCAGUGAGGCGAGUAAAGGUAGCUUCGGCCUCCGCAUCGGGAUGGGCCCGCGGCCCAUUAGCUUGUUGGUGAGGUAACGGCUCACCAAGGCUGCGAUGGGUAGCGGGUCUGAGAGGAGGACCAGCCCCACUGGGACUGAGACACGGCCCAGACUCCUACGGGAGGCAGAAGUGGGGAAUCUUGCGCAAUGCGCGAAAGCGUGACGCAGCAAGGCCGCGUGGGGGAAGAAGGCCUUCGGGUUGUAAACCCCUUUCAGGGGGGACGAAGCCUCGGGCGUUAAUAGCGUUCCGGAGUGACGGUACCUCCACAAGAAGCCCCGGCUAACUACGUGCCAGCCGCCGCCGUAACAC
rnacentral:rRNA from 1 species